GUGCAUUCCAAGUUCGCCCAAACGCAUCUGUAUAACGUACCUUGUUCAGCUCCUGCUCAUAGACUCGUCCUCCGCCUGUCUGUGUGGUCCCGGAGGGUCGUGGAAGGAAGUUUCCAAAAUUGAGGUGUGUAUNANAAAAAAAAAAAAAAAGAAUAGGAAGCAUCAGAAAAGCAAGGCUUAUCUGAAAAGAAAGUUGUUUUGGGGUGAAUCAAAAGCCGGUGUGCUCAAGGCUUGAGGUUCAAUGAAACACUAAAGAGCUUAAUACAAUGCUCUAUACUGCAGCACCAUCCUCUGGAUGGGGAUGCAGUUUGAAGAAGAAGGGAGAAUGAGGACGAGUCAUCACAUGCUCUUGUGUCCACGACUUCCCAGACAUGAUGGGGAUACCCUCAGAUGGUGAACCAAAAUAAACCCCUUCUUUCCUGACUUGCUCCUGUCAGGGUGUUUCAUCACAGCGACAUGACAAUAAAUCCCAAGCCACUCUCAAUAAAUCACUCUCAUGCUACAUAUUCUAAUGGAAGAGUCUACCCUACUUAAGAGUAACCUUUUUUUUUGUUGUUGUUGUUGUUGCUAUUUUAGUUUUCAAUAUCAUUUUUCUUCCUUUGUUAUCCUGCUCAAAAUUCAUCCGUGUCAUCUCUUCUACUGCCUGUCCUUUGCC
rnacentral:lncRNA from 1 species